rnacentral:rRNA from 1 species
GCACAAGCGGUGGAGCAUGCGGUUAAUUCGAUGAUACGCGAGGAACCUUACCAGGGCUUAAAUGUAGAGUGCAUUUUCUAGAGAUAGGAAUUCCCUUCGGGGCUUUCUGCAAGGUGCUGCAUGGUUGUCGUCAGCUCGUGCCGUGAGGUGUCGGGUUAAGUCCCAUAACGAGCGCAACCCUUAUCGUUAGUUGCCAUCUGGUAAAGCAGGGGACUCUAGCGAAACUGCCACCGUAAGGUGAGAGGAAGGUGGGGAUGACGUCAAAUCAGCACGGCCCUUAUGUCCAGGGCUACACACGUGUUACAAUGGCCGGUACAGAGGGCAGCUACCUGGUGACAGGAUGCUAAUCUCGAAAACCGGUCUCAGUUCGGAUCGAAGUCUGCAACUCGACUUCGUGAAGCUGGAUUCGCUAGUAAUCGCGCAUCAGCCAUGGCGCGGUGAAUACGUUCCCGGGCCUU